UCUUAUGAUCGACAGGGUUUAAAAAUCCCUAGACAGAGAAAAUCUGUUGAUGCUUCUGGCACAGUGGCAAAAAUGGCUAACAAGAGCCAUAGCUGUCUGCACAGGAGGAGAAUGGUAGGAGCAAGCAGAUAUUUUUACAUCUGCCUCUGGCACUGGUUCUGGCAUCGAUGAUUUAAAGAUAACACUGGACAAUGAGAGAGGGAGCAGUUCUGGGCUCAUCAAAUUGAUGGAUAACUCUAAUGAAUCCCAUGACUGCGCUACUGAAAUUAUCUCAACCACCAAAAUGUCUGUUUAAUCUACAUCAGAGUAGCUGCGCUUCUUUUGUGCCUGGAUAAAUCACUGGACAGUUAUCUAUCUGAGGCAGCAAAAACCCCACAGAUGUGGGCAAACUUCCAGUCUUACUGAAGUGAGACCAGAACAUAAAAGACUGAAGAAACACCAUGAAGGCAACAACAGUCCCAGCAGUCCAUGCCUGCCUCCAUACUUGCACAAGGUCAUGGUCCAUCCAGGAGCAGCCAGCUGCUGGAGUCAUAUUUGAAGCUGUGGCUGCCAGAAGAGGACAGCUGAGCCUCCUAGGACAUAUGCCCUCUGUGUCACUGGGCCAGAAUGUGGGGAUCUUCUUCAUCCACUGUCAUAGUGGAGCUUGGGGUUCAGGAUCACUCAAAACCAUGCCACUACCCCACAGCUGACCUCCUGGCUCCAAAAGAGGGAAGAGGUGGGAACAAGCACUGGCUGAGCAGGGGCUCUUCUAUCUCUGCUGAUGCAGUUGAACCAUCCCAGCUGACAUACCCUUCACCCUUACUGCUUCCCUGCAAGUUGGCCAAGGUGUCAGAUAUACAUCAAUUGGGGAAAGGUUUUGUAACUUAAAACAAGUGACCUUUUAAUCCUUCCAGGGUAAUGAAUGGAAAUAAUAACAAUGUUAAACAAUUUCUACCUGAGUAAAGUUGUCAGGAUCUGUGUUUCUGUGUUCUAUUACUAAUCUGAAAGAGAAAAAAAAAAUCCAAACAAUGUUUCUCUGCCUUUCAUUCCUUAAGACAAUGGAAUAAUGUGUAUUUGUCAUUCAUUAAACAAAUAUCUCUGUGCAGGAUAUAAAAGAACCACAAAAACUGACACAUGAAGAGAUUCAUUAAUCACAAACACAAUGAAUAUUAGUUUUUAAAAGAGGAAGCACAAAAGACCUCAGAACAUGGGGUGUACAUGGCGGGAUGUCGCAGCUGGGAGCAUUGCAGCCUUGACUAUGAUGCCUGCCCCAUUCAGAGUAACCUUUCCUGGAAUAUGUCCUGUUGAGUUUUCUGUUUAUUUCAAUAUCCUGCUAGUUUGUUUGCCAUUUAGAGCAGUCCAACUGGCUGUAUUACCUGAUGGGAUGCAAAUAAAAUAGCAAACUUAAAAAAAAAAAAAAAAAAGUUUAUUUAAUUGUACUGUAGAAAUGUUUGGUUAAAGAAAAAUAUUCCCCCCCACAGCUGUAUGGUUUCUGUUUGAAGUGCUUUUGGAUUGAACUCAAGGCAUUUGGGUGUUUGCCAGGAAGGGGUGUAAACAAGGGAGGCGUGGAGCUUUUAUUCUUGGAGAAUAUAUGGCUGAUCCAGGGUUCAGCAGAGCCAGGGCAUUUGUGUUUCAAAUUCAAAUAAGACACAUACAAAAAAGAAUUACUUUU